GAUCAGUACACAAAGGCUGCCGCUGCCGCUGAGGGAAAGGCUGCCCUGUUCGCACCUUGGAUGGAUUUACUUCUGGACUCUCAAUUCUACUCCAUGAAUCUAUAUGCCUGUCCUUAUGUCAGCACCACACUGACCUGUGACAAGUUGGGAAGUGCCAUGGUGGCUUUGUCAAUGGUUCUUGUUUUCCUGCUGGUUCUGAGCAGAAGUGAGAGUGAACUGGACGCCAAGAUCUCAUCUCCAGGGGAGGCCACAGAAUGGGGUGAUCCUGAUCUGUCCCUGCUGGGAUCCUGCAAGCCAGCCCCAUCCUGCAAGAAGUGCAUCCUCUCACAUCCAAGCUGUGCAUGGUGCAAGCAACUGAACUUCACAGCGUCAGGGGAGGCGGAGGAGCGGCGUUGCGCCUCGCGUGAGGAGCUGCUGGCUCGUGGUUGCCCCCCAGGGGAGCUGGAAGAGCCCCAAGGCCAGCAGGAGGUGCUGCAGGACCAGCCGCUCAGCCAGGGCUCCCGGGGCGGUGAGGGGGCCACUCAGCUGGCACCGCAGCGGGUGCGGGUCACGCUGCGUCCCGGGGAGCCCCAGCAGCUGCAGGUCCGCUUCCUCCGUGCCGAGGGGUACCCUGUGGACCUGUACUACCUUAUGGACCUGAGCUACUCCAUGAAGGACGACCUGGAGUUCGUGCGCCAGCUCGGGCACGCCCUGCUUGUGCGGCUGCAGGAGGUCACCAAGUCCGUGCGCAUCGGCUUUGGCUCCUUCGUGGACAAGACGGUACUGCCCUUCGUGAGCACAGUGCCCUCCAAGCUUCGCCAUCCCUGCCCCACCCGACUGGAGCGCUGCCAGCCCCCCUUCAGCUUUCACCACGUGCUAUCCCUGACGGGGGAUGCCAAGGCCUUCGAGCGGGAGGUGGGGCGCCAGAGUGUGUCUGGCAACCUGGACUCACCUGAAGGUGGCUUUGAUGCCAUUCUACAGGCUGCACUCUGCCAGGAGCAGAUUGGCUGGAGAAAUGUGUCUCGGCUGCUGGUGUUCACUUCAGAUGACACGUUCCACACAGCUGGGGAUGGAAAGUUGGGUGGCAUUUUCAUGCCCAGUGAUGGGCAUUGCCACUUGGACAGCAAUGGCCUCUAUAGUCGCAGCCCAGAGUUUGACUACCCCUCUGUGGGUCAGGUAGCCCAGGCUCUCUCUGCAGCAAACAUCCAGCCCAUUUUUGCUGUCACCAGUGCCACACUGCCCGUCUACCAGGAGCUGAGUAAGCUGAUCCCCAAGUCCGCAGUGGGGGAGCUGAGUGAGAACUCCAGCAAUGUGGUACAGCUCAUCAUGGACGCGUAUAAUAGCCUGUCAUCCACUGUGACCCUCGAGCACUCUCCACUCCCUCCGGGGGUCCACAUCUCUUAUGAAUCCCAGUGUGGGGGUCAUGAGAAGAGGGCUGGUGAGCCUGGGGACCGGGGACAGUGCAACCAUGUCCGAAUCAACCAGACGGUGAAUUUUUUGGUUACUUUCCAAGCUACCCGCUGCCUCCCAGAGCCCCAUUUUCUGAAGUUCCGAGCUCUUGGCUUCUCAGAGGAGCUGACUGUGGAGUUGCACACACUGUGCGACUGCAACUGCCAUGACACCCAGCUCCCAGCGCCCCACUGCAGUGACCACGGGCACCUACAAUGCGGGGUGUGCAGCUGUGACCCAGGCCGCCUGGGUCGACUCUGUGAGUGCACUGAGUCUGAGAUGUCCUCCCCAGAUCUGGAAUCUGGGUGCCGGGGCCCGAAUGGGACAGGGCCCCUGUGCAGCGGGAAGGGACGCUGCCAGUGUGGACGCUGCAGCUGCAGCGGACAGAGCUCUGGGCGCCUGUGCGAGUGUGACGAUGCCAGCUGUGAGCGACAUGAGGGCAUCCUCUGUGGAGGCUUUGGCCUCUGCCAAUGUGGAGUGUGUCACUGUCACACCAACCGCACGGGCAGAGCGUGUGAGUGCAGUGGGGACGUGGAUGGCUGCGUCGGUCCUGAGGGAAGGCUCUGCAGUGGGCAUGGACAUUGCAAAUGCAACCGCUGCCAGUGCUUGGACGGCUACUACGGUGCCCUAUGUGAUCAGUGCCCAGGCUGCAAGACACCAUGCGAGAGACACAGGGACUGUGCAGAGUGUGGGGCCUUUGGGACUGGUGUCCUGGCCACCAAUUGCAGCAUGGCUUGUGCCCAUACCAAUGUGACUGUGGCUCUGGCCCCUAUGCUGGAUGACGGCUGGUGCAAAGAGAGGACCCUGGACAACCAGCUGUUCUUCUUCCUGGUGGAGGAGGAAGCCGGAGGCAGGGUCACGCUGAGAGUGCGACCCCAAGAGAAGGGAGCAGACCACACCCAGGCCAUUGUGCUAGGCUGUGUGGGGGGCAUUGUGGCAGUGGGACUGGGGCUGGUCCUGGCUUAUCGGCUCUCCGUGGAAAUCUAUGACCGCCGAGAAUACAAGCGCUUUGAGAAGGAGCGGCAGCAGCCCAACUGGAAGCAGGACAGAAAUCCUCUCUACAAAAGCGCCGUCACGACCGUCAUUAACCCCCGCUUCCAAGCCCCAGAAAGUCCUCUCUGAAGAGGGUAGGGCUGCUCGCUCCAGGGUUCUUCUUCCGGGGGAUGGUGGGGAUUAGGGCUCUGGGUCUAUCAGGCAGCAGCCUGCUGGGGGACUAAUCACCACCUACGGUACUUGGACACCCCAGAGGGCCGGCCUCCUGCUGCACCCUUGCUUCCCCACCCCUCAAGAAGUGGGGGUUGCCCCAUCCACAAAUACAAUAAAGAAUCUUCAGGUUACAGAUCACUUUAACAAACACUGUGUCUGCUGGUAUCCAACCUCAUUCUGUCUUGUCCAGCAGGGUUUUUUCCUCUUAAUCAGAAUUAAUACACAUAUAUGUAUUUUAGAUACCUCGGUUUCAAUUCUACUUGUUGCUUGCCUGUGGAGAAGGGGAGUUUUAAAGUGGCAGUUUAUAGGGUACUAGAAAUUGCAGGAUGGUAAUAUUUGGGGGGAAAAGGGAGAUCAUGUUGGCCCCAGUGAAAAAAAUUCCCCACAAGAUAUUCUUUUCAAAGAUGAGAUAGUAUGUAAAAAAGCCCCAUUUUCUUUUUAUUUAAAUAUCCUAAAUAUAUCACGAAGGAACAUACACUGCACUUUAAUGGUAAAAAGAUACAAGUUUAUAACAUCUUAUAAAAACUACCAUUUAAAAGUGAUCUUGUUCAUUUGAUAUUCCCCACCCCCCAUAGCAAAAUAAGUAUAUUAAAAAAAAAAAAAAGAGAGAGGGUGGGUGGUGAGGCAGGUAGGAGGGAUUAAGAUAAAAGCCCCAGAGCUACAGCAGAGGCAGAGUCUGAGGAGAGGGUUACUAGUAAAAGUCGUGGCAGGACUCUGUCUCUCUUAACCCUCCGAUGUCAAGCCGUGGGGCACAGUCAGUAGCUAAGUGAUGACAAGAGGCUGUUGGGGGUGGACGGAAAAGACUUGGGGUGCUGGGAAGGGCAGGGCUGGUAGGGCCUGGUAUAGCAGUUCACCCAGGAACUGGGGCUACUCUUUCCCGGGUCCAAUUCCACAGCCUGGUCUCUGAGAGCCUGCCCUAUCUCCCUUUCCCUUCACUCCAAACACACCUGAGGCAUCUUUCCAGUGCUAGACCCCAUCCCAGCAAACAAAGGGUGGGGUGUUGGGCCCAGGAGCCUUUGCUGCAAUCUUAGUCUAUGGUUUCCCUGGGGUAUAAGUGGGGCUCCUGCCCCCCCCCCCCAUGGGCGCUAAAUCACUCCUUUCACCUCUUUGCUUCCCUCUCCUUAUACAUCCAUGGCCCCAGAACAUCAGCACCUGGACAACCAAACUAACCCCCUGCUCCUGGGUCUCCCCCACACCCAGGCGCUGGCAGGGGUGGUUCUGGUAUGGCUCUACAUAUCCACUUAAUUUCCCCUCUCCCACCCUCAGGCAGGAAGCUGAGGCCUGCUGGGGCCAGGGCACAUCCCGGCCUAAACACACAUUCACACACAUAGGGGCAUUGAUCACUCGCGUGCUUCUCGCCACACCCACCCACGCCACCCCACAACCCAGAGGCAGGGAGCGAGGCCUCCCAUUUUCAAAAGCGCUCUUGGGAGGACAAUUUCCUAAAUGUAUCCUUCUUCUCAGAAGAUAUUCCCAGAGGUGAACAAUAGACAAAUUCCAGCCUGAGCAGAGAACUCUCCCAGGAAGGGGCUGGCUCACAUGCAGAAAAAUGCCCUAACAGGGGCCACAGGGCGAUUCUGACACAACCCCUGGGAGUGCCAGCCUAAAGCACAGGGCGGCACACACAUCCCCAAGGUCUCCCCAAAGGAUCUCCGAUGCUCUCAGGAAAAACCUAAAAGGUGUCAUGCCCCUUUCCUCUUUCCCGAGAUCCCCACACCUCAGAGGCACAGAGGACUGCCCCAUUCCCCCAUGCUCUCUUCCAGAAUAGGUAACACCAGGAGUAUGUUGCUGCUGUUCCCUACACUUUCUGGGAAAGAACUCACAUUUCCUAGAGGCCAUAGGAUCCCCACGGACAGCUUGGUCAGGUUCAUCAAGUCUCCAUGAUUACUCCUCAUUCCACAGGUCAGGGCAGGCCACAGAACGCAGGCCACAAACCCCAGGCCUUCCAUAAGGAUCCUUUCCUUAGCAGGAAGAGGGCUUUUCAUUUCACUUUAGAAAAUAAUGUUCACAAGCCCCUGGCAUAAGUUAGAAACAUCUAACCCCCACUCUGUUGAAUCAGUCUAAAAACAAAAACAAAAACACCUCCAAAACAAAGCCCUCCCCUGGCCUAAAUUGAGUUUCUCAGGUCCUGCUGGGACCUUACACACCCUCAGGUUUGGGGCGGGGGAGGCUGUUUCAUGCUCGCCCUCCCCUGCGCAGAGGCCACAGAAGAGCUUGGCUCAAUAAUAUGCCGUCUCCAAGCACACAAACACGGACACUCACACACACACCCCCCAGAUCAUUUUUUUGAGGGUGGAUAGGAUGAUGGUGUUGGGAGCAGAGAGAAGCAAAGAGUAUGGUUAAGAAUAAAUCCUACAUUAGGUUUCAUCCUCAGUCCUUUCUCUGCAGCUCUUCUACUCCCCCCAAUUCUUUGUUGGGUAGGGAUGGCCGUCAAGAAGGAAGCCAAGAUCUUGUUCUUUGGGACCAAAGGCCAGACCCCUAUCUCCUCUACCUGAAUACAGUGAUAGGACUUGGGCAGAGAGAACAGCUCACACCGCUCAGCUGUCAUGUCAAGGGACACCUAAUUCCUGUUUCCCGAACAGCUGUUACUCAACUUAGGACUAGUCUUGGGUGGUUCCAAAGAGGGCACAAGGAGGAAGAACUACUUUGAUAUCUAUGACUCCCUGCUCAACACCCCCGUUUGGCUUAGGAAUCAAUGGCGGUGAGGUAGCCACAAACUAUUUCCAAGGUCAACUGCCCGAAGAGAGAAGGAAAGGGCUUCAUGAGCCACUGUCACCCAAGUUUCCCCCAAAAGGCACUUAGGCUGACCCCAUCAGGUACCAGUGUGGCAUGGUUCAUUACAACAUCCAUGGGCACAACUCUUACUCUUCCCCAGAGGAAAUAACAGGUACCUGUCCACUCUUCUUGGAUCCAGCCCUCGUCUGCUCCUCCUACUGUUCUUCCUUUUGUCCCUAGUGUAUAAGGAAGCCAAAGUAAGCUCAGCUGCCAUCCCUGGUCCUAUUCUCCUUCAAGCAGGAGGUAGGGGGCAGGGGUGUGGAACACUGAGGAUCAAUUGCAACUAAAAACUCAAUUCUGGAGGGCUGGACCACCCAUCGUCCCUGUGGCUAUGGUUCUGUACCUCCAGAUUACCUGUAUCCACAGUGUACCUGCUGAAAUUGCUUUUGGAUAAACAAAAAUAAGAACAGGACAAACAAAUAAACAAAUCCCUCUCCCAAUCUUUUUCAUUUCAGCUGCCAGUUGGAGUCCAAGGUUGUGGGAGCCACAUUUCAGUCUUGGUCCUGUACCUUGAGUCCCCCACCUAUGAACUCAGCCAAGGGUCCAGGGACUAGCUUUCCUGCCCAGGAAUGCUGUAGGAACUUCCCCGAGAUACUCAUAGUCUCAGAUUAUUUACAGAGCUGAGGCUCUGGGGCUGUUGUCCCCUGAUGCACUCUUCUGGUCUCCUAGGUCCACUCCUCCAGGAGGGGACAGGUACACACGGGGUGGUGGUGGGACCGUCAGACCAGAGGAGGGUGCGUUCUUCGGUAGAGUCUUCUCAUCACUCCCACCACCCAGGGCCCCUUGCGCCUAUAGAGAAAACUGCCCGUCGGAAGUCUUGGACUGGCACCCUUGGCACAUCCGUUUGUGUCUGAGUAAUCGAUCUGUCCGAGAAAAACACUGAGAAGAAAGGGAGGGUUAAGUGCCUGAGAGGAGGAACUCAGAUACCUGUUGGCUAGACCUGUCUUCCCCACACAGGAGGCAUAUAACCAAUUUUAUGUUGCCUCAGAAUGUACAGAUGGCAUGAAAGCACAGUGGUUAAGAACAAAGAAACUGAGAAGUCUGAAUCUUGGCUCUGCCACUAAGUAGCUGUGUGACUCUGGGCAAGUUACCUAACAGUUUUCCAUCUGCACAUCUAUCUGAAAAAUGGGGCUAAAAGUACCUACUCAGACUGUGGCUCCUUCAUUCAUCAAAGUUUUAUGGAGUCUCAAUCUCAAGGCAGGUACAGUUCUUGGGGCUGCAGAUAUCGAGUGGAGACCCAGAGGGACAAAAUCUCUGCCUCAUGGAGCUUUCUUCUAGUGUUCUGAAGACUCAAUGUAAGAGCAGGGAGCAAAGCUUGAGACAUAGUGAAGCAUCCAGGAGGUGUUGCCAUCAUUUCUUAUCUCUUGUCCUUUGUUUUGAUCCUGGCUCUUACAUUCUCAUCAGAUCAGAUACUGACUCUCAGAGCGGAGAUUACCUUUCUUCUUCCAGCUCUGAAGUUUGACUGAAUUCUGACUCUGCCCUUGACCUGCUGUGUCCUUGGGAAGCUUAACCUCUUUCAGUCUCCGUUUUCCCCCAUGUGAAAUGAGGACAACACAUUACGGAAUGAAUAAGCACUGAGGAAUCAAAGCUUGGCAUCUCCUGGCAGAGAGCUUGGGCCACCCGACCCCCAGGUGCCACAAUGGAGUCCAGCUCUGUACCUGACUGGAGCACCUCAGCACAUCAGGGCUACCUGCCCGCUCUCCGUUCUCGGCCUGCUUGCUGGCAAUCUGGCUCAGCAUCAUCUUCUUGCUGGCUGCAGUGGGAACCAAACUCACACCUGCUAGGCCUUCACAAGCCAGGAGACUUGCCUAAGUUGAAAGGAGAUGAGGUAUCAGGUCACCUGGCAGGGCAGAAACAGGCUGCCAUCCUCCACAGAACUACCUUUUACUCCUGCCUAUGAACAAACUGCUCUACGGACAAAACUCUGCUUCCUUCAAGAGUCCUCCCUAACUCAUCUCACCAGGAAUUAGUUACUUAUUUUGUCAUCCAUCAUUUAGAUAUAAUAAUCAAGUAUUACUGACACUUUUAUCAUUAGUGCUGUGCUAGGUACAAUGUGGGUCUACAUGUUACUUUGAAGUGUUUCUAGGUCUUGGGAGUGGGCAUGAGUCUGUCCUGCUGACCCACUGAAAUGGGAGAUUUCUAGAGGAACUUCCUCCUUCUCUCAAUAGCACUCAGCUUUACAGACCCCACUAGCGCCAAGUAUAUAUUCUAUCAGGUUCCACAAAUGUUUAUUGGUAAAAUUAGGUUAUUUCUCUCUUUAGAUUUUAAAUCCCCUAAGUGUAUCAAUUAUAACAGACAUGAAAAUUAAACCACUUGAAAGGACUUGGGAGCUGAAUAUACAAUUUCUGUUCACACACUACCUGGCCAUUUAUAUGUGUGCAUACCCGUAUUUUUUCACAUUCCUUGCUCUACAUAUAGUUUAAAAUUACAUAAGGAAUGUUUAAGAAAAUGUCCUCUUUCCACUGUUACAUUCUUUAAAUUGACUGUUUAGCCAGCACUAGAGACUAUACUUUUCUUACUGAAGGAACUUUUUAGUAGUAGUUGGUCAGUAAACUUCCACAAGUGAUUUAUAAAGAAAUUCCUUUUAGAUGAUCAGUAUAUCCUGGAACCCCCUCCUUCACCUUCAAAGACUUUGGACUAAAGGAUCUGGAGGUAAAAAAAAAAAA